UAUAUGCUAGGUUGUUUGGGUGUAAGUGGCUUGCAGGAGAGCUAAUUAGACAGAAGUAUAAGGACCACUCCUGUAAAACCCUAACUGUGUCAUAACAAGCAAAAGUCAAGGUGGUGGUGGUGAAUUGACCAUGGCUCACGUAUCACUCAAAGCACAAUGCCUUUUACCUCACUUACAACCGUAGUCUAGGAAGAAAGUUCGUCCAUCGGUUCAUUGUCCACUACAUUAAUUCAAUUUUAAAAUAUUUGCUUCAGUGAGAGAAGAAGAAAAGAUAAUAUAGCUCAUAUCAAACCUUCGCAAAGAAACCAACGAUUCAAUAACUACUAGCAAAAUACACAAGAAACCUGAUGAACAUACACUAGAAAAAUCAUUUGUCUGCAUAAAUCGAAAAGUUGGAAAAGGAGGCAAAGGAACGAGAGGGUGUAGACUACUCUCAACUGAAGCUAAGUGAAGAGCUCAUCGCUGAAGUCAACCGACUUAAGGUGGCAACUGGUGAGGGAAUGGCAAACCCCAGCCAGUUCGAGGGUUCAAUGUUGCAGCCAUUAGACCCAAACAUGUUCCAGCAGCAACUCAACAGCAAUGAGUUCAAUUUGCAACAACCAUUGGACCCAAACAUGUUGUAGCAGCAAUGCAACAUCAAUGAGUUCAAUUAGCAACAACCAUUGGACCCAAACAUGUUCCAACAACAACUUAACAUCAAUGAAUUCAACCAGCAGCAGCCAAACCAAGAUUUUUAUGGACAAACCUAAGGAAGUUGAGGUGGAUUUGGCAAUCCUAUUUGUUCAAGGAUUUGAAGAUUUAUUCAAGUUGUUUCAGUUUGUGUUUAAAAGGUCAAGUUGAGAGAAUGACAAUUCUAUCUAAGUGUUCCGCUUAGAUAGAUAUAUGAUUGUAUCUGUGAGAGGGUUCAGACAAUUGUGACCUUUUUGUUUUUUUUUUUCAAUAAAAUUUUGUCCUUUUUUAUUGAGAUUUAUUUAUAUUUUAUCCAAUUUGUUCAAUUUCAUAGAAAAACAUGAAAGUAGUCUUCUCAGAUGUUCCUUUUUCCGACUAGUGGAUAAUUGCUUUGGUCAACGCUCCAAAGAGUCGUCUUUUCUUUUAGUUCCUCCUUCUUUCGUUGCCCUUUAGUUCAAGGAGGAACUAAAAGUAAAGAUGAUUAUUUUAAGCGUUGUUCAAAGCAGUCAUCUACUGGUCGGAAAAAUGAACAUCCGAGAAGAUUAUUUUCAUCUUGUUUUUCAAUAAAAUUUAACAAAUUGGAUAAAAUAUAAAAAAAUCUCAAUAGAAAAGAACAAAGCUUUAUUGAAAAAAACAAAAGGUUACAAUUGUGUGAAUCCUCUCAUGGUUACAAUCCUAUAUCUAUCUAAGAAGAACAAUUUGUCACUCUCUCAACCUGACCUUUUAAACAUAAACUAAAACAACUUGAAUAAAUCUUCAAUCCUUGAACCAAUAGGAUUGCGAAAUCCACCUCGACUUUCUUAGGGUUGUCCAUAAAAAUCUUGGUUUGGGUGCUCUUGGUUGAACUCAUUGAUGUUAAGUUGUUGUUGGAACAUGUUUGGGUCCAAUGACUACUGUUGAUUGAACUCAUUGAUGUUGCAUUGCUGCUGGAACAUGUUUGGGUCCAAUGGUUGUUGUUGAUUAAACUCAUUGAUGUUGAGUUGCUGCUGGAACAUGUUUGGGUCUAAUGGCUGCAUCAAUGAACCCUCAAACUGGCUGGGGUUUGUCAUUCCCUCACCAGCUGCCACCUUAAGUCGGUUGACUUCAGCGAUGCUCUUCAUUUAGCUUCAGUUGAGAGUAGUCUGCAGCCUCUUGUUCAUUUGCCUCUUUUUCCAGCCUUUCGAUUUCUGCGCACAAUUUAUUUUUUCUAGGGUAUGUCUAUCGAGUUUAUAAUAUAUAAAACUUUAUGUGACGUCUUUUUAUACAAACAAUAACGUUCUUAAGAUUGUUGUUUGUAUCAAGACGCCACAAACUGUUUUACUCGCUAGGAUACUAUUACUAAGAAAACAUAUGUAACAUCCCGAUUUCAAGAAUAUGGUGGUGCAUGCGUAGAGGUUUAAAAGAAUUGAUUUGGCUACCUAUGUCACCAAAGUGCACCUAUCUAUUUGGUCAACUGUCCUGAGAGAAUUCCACAGUUAAGCGUGCUUGGGCUGGAGCAAUUUCAGGAUGGGUGACCUUCCGGGAAGUGAUUGUCGAAACCGUGUGAGUGAGGCCAAAACACGGGGAAAGAUAAUGUGGUGAUUUGUAGUGUCGGUAAACAAAUCUUUAAAGCCUCCCGGACUUAGCGAAUCGACCGUCAGAAAGGCAUGGGGCCUACGGGCUCGAGAGAGGAUGUGGGUGCUCAUUAGUAGGGGCGGUCGGGGCGUUACAAGUGGUAUCAGUGCCGAACCAUGGCGAGUGUGGAGUCAAGAAGACUCACACCGUCGGGGGUGACGAUCUUGCUGUGCAAUGAGGACGUUGCGAUUUGUUAGUGUGGGUGAAUUGUAACACCAUGGUUUCAGGAAUAUCGUGGUGUAUGUGUAGAGGUUUAAAAGAUUUGAUUUGACUACCUAUGUCACCAAAGUGUACUUAUCUUUUCGAUCAACUGUCCUGAGAGAACUCCACAGUUAAGAGUGCUUGGGCUGAAGCAAUUUCAAAAUGGGUGACUUUCCAGGAAGCGAUUGUUGGAACCGUGUGAGUGAGGGUAAAACACGGGGAAAGAUCAUGUGGUGAUUUGUAAGGUCGGUAAACAAGUCUUUAAAGCCUCUCGGACGUAGCGAACCGAUCGUCGGACAAGCGUGGAGCCUACGGCCCGAGAGAGGACGUGGGUGCUCACUGGUAGGGGUGGUCGGGGUGUUAUAACAUAAGGGAGGUUUAUUAACAUUCUUUUUAUUUUUUUCCCCCAAGUUUCUAGAGCAUAUCCUAGCUGAGAAAAACAUCAAAAACUUCUUGAACAUUGAUGCCGACACUCGUGGACCUUCUUGAAGUCCCUGGAUUGUGGACUUCAUGGUGGCCUUAAAACCAACAUUAAACCAAAGAUCAACGUCUGAGAUUGAAAUAAUCUCGAGAGAAAAUAGUUUCAACCGGGCCUUGUGGCCUAGUGGUAAAGGGGUCACAGCUGUGACUUCCGCCACCAGGGUUCGAGGCAAGGCCACUGGCAGGUUUACAUAGGGGAAUUGCCAGCCUCGUGGGAUUAGUCCUUGGGCCUAGAAAGCCUUUGGGAGACCCGCGGUUAUUCAAAAAAAAAAAAAAAGUUUCAUAAACCUAGUCUAGCCUGAGCAAAAUAACGCUUCACAACUUACGUGCCACUAUGUACUUUUUCAACAUAGGUAAAUCCAGGUCUAAUUUGAGAAGAACCAAGUUUCAGUAAAACAUAAAUAUAUAUAUAUAUAUAUAUAUAUAUAUAUAUAUAUAUAUAUAAUAUUUGGAGUGAUCAAAUUUACGACCGAAUAUCCGAAUUUUAACGGAUAUGCGGACAUCAGAUAUCCAAUAAACGGCAUAGUGGAUAUAGAUCAGAAAGUCAUUAUCCGUACAGAACCGAUCACGAAUAGCUUAUAAAUUUUGAAUAUCCACUAUGCGUCCAGACUUAAUAUAUAUUUAAAGCUUAUAUGCAAUAAUAGAAAAGUAUUGGCAACUUAAAGAAAAGAAGAAUAACACUUUCUUUUGAUAUGUAAAACUUAAGACUCCAUCUUUUUUCUGAUAGAAGGCAAAAAAAAAACAAUUUUGCCAAAACUACAAUACACUGAUUUUAAAAGACAAAAAAUAUAAUAAAAUCUAAGUUGAUUGAUAAGUUGCAUCAUUUUUCUGGUGAUUAUUUUGGAGCAAUUAUUUUCCAAAGUAUUGAAUAUAAAAUAUCUAAAAUGUUUAAAUUAAUUUACAAUUUGUUAGCUUGAUUGAUUUAUCUAAUUUAAAAGCCUAUAUAAUAGUUCAUACACCGAUUAGAAAUAAGCCAGUUACAAUAGAAAAAAUCAACAGGUAAAACUAACCUUUAGUGUAUGACAUCGAUGUUACCCAUCAUAUACAGUACGAAGAUAUAAGAUAGUAAUCAUCGGACUAUUUCGGUUGACCUCGGCUAUGUUUACCGUCAAACCAAAUCUCGGAAACUCUCUCUUUUGCGACGGUAAUGCAAUAUUCCUAUUCAAGAGUCGUCACAAACAAAAAUUUGUAGAAUAUGUUUUGCUCUCGAUUAAUACGCCAUCUCGAUAUUCUUUCAAGCACUGUGACAACCCUUAAUACACCGAUGAAAGAACUUUUCAAUACAAGCUUUGGCGGAGAAAACGAAGAUUUUUUUUAGUUGUUG
rnacentral:lncRNA from 1 species